CGGCGGACGGGUGAGUAAUGUCUGGGAAACUGCCUGAUGGAGGGGGAUAACUACUGGAAACGGUAGCUAAUACCGCAUAACGUCGCAAGACCAAAGAGGGGGACCUUCGGGCCUCUUGCCAUCGGAUGUGCCCAGAUGGGAUUAGCUAGUAGGUGGGGUAACGGCUCACCUAGGCGACGACCCCUAGCUGGUCUGAGAGGAUGACCAGCCACACUGGAACUGAGACACGGUCCAG
rnacentral:rRNA from 1 species